rnacentral:rRNA from 1 species
AACGAACGUUGGCGGCGUGGAUUAGGCAUGCAAGUCGAACGAGAACCCCUGGGCAACUGGGGGGGAAAGUGGCGAAAGGGGCAGUAAGGCGUGGGUAACCUACCUCGGGGACCGGGAUAGCCAUUCUAACGGAUGGGUAAUACCGGGCGAUCUGGCGAAGGCGCCUGUCUUUGUCAGGAAAGGAAUUUCGCCUCGGGAGGGGCUCACGUGGUAUUAGCUAGUUGGUGGGGUAACGGCCCACCAAGGCGAAGAUGCCUAGCGGGUGUGAGAGCACGACCCGCGCCACUGGCACUGAGACACUGGCCAGACUCCUACGGGGGGCUGCAGUCGAGGAUCUUCGGCAAUGGGCGCAAGCCUGACCGAGCGACGCCGCGUGCGCGAUGAAGGCCUUCGGGUUGUAAAGCGCUGUCGAGGGGGAGGAAAGCCCGCAAGGGUCUGACCUAUCCCUGGAGGAAGCACGGGCUAAGUUCGUGCCAGCAGCCGCCGUAACAC